rnacentral:lncRNA from 1 species
GCCCCCCGUUCCGACCAAAUUACCCUUAGCCUGUUUUGGAACAUAGCAACCGAAUUUAAUUAAUUUUGGUAUGUAGGAACCGAACUAGACAUCCACCAAAUACCUUUGUUUUUAUAUCAGACUCUAAUCUUUCAAACUUAGUUGCAACUAUUGUUAUUUUGUCAAUAAUUUAAUUGAUUUACCGGGAAUUGUGAAGAUAUUGCAAUAGUUGUCAAUUAGUGUUUAGUAGCUAUAGUUGAAUUACCACGUUAGUGAUAUAGCUGUAUGAUAUUGAAUCUUAUACACAAUUCUUGCUUUUUUGGCCCUAAUCUAGCAAGUUCCCUGGUUGAUUUCUUGUAAUAUUGACAUGUAAUGCAAGGUAGCAUCUAGGUAAGGGUGUUUUUUGUCUCGCAAAACAAACUUUUAUAACAACCAAACCAGCUACAACAAAAACCUGCUACACCAAUAACAGCCAACACGCAUAGCUUCUUCACCUAAUUUGCACGUUUUGAAGGAAAUUCAUUAAUUAUGCUUCUUCACCUAAUUUGCAAAACACAGAUGGUAUGCUUCUUCUUCUUCUUCUUCUUCUUCAACGUAGUAACAAGCCAAAAUGAAGGAACAACAAGAAGAAUACACCUGGAAACACAAU